UACAGAGGGGGCAAGCGUUGUUCGGAAUUACUGGGCGUAAAGGGCGCGUAGGCGGCCUUCUAAGUCGAACGUGAAAUCCCCGGGCUCAACCCGGGAACUGCGUCCGAUACUGGAAGGCUUGAAUCCGGGAGAGGGAUGCGGAAUUCCAGGUGUAGCGGUGAAAUGCGUAGAUAUCAGGAGGAACACCGAUUGCGAAGGCAGCUCGCUGGGACGUCACUGACGCUGAGACGCGAAAGCGUGGGGAGCAAACAGG
rnacentral:rRNA from 1 species